CCUACGGGAGGCUGCAGUGAGGAAUAUUGGUCAAUGGACGAGAGUCUGAACCAGCCAAGUAGCGUGAAGGAUGACUGCCCUAUGGGUUGUAAACUUCUUUUAUAUGGGAAUAAAACAGGGUAUGCAUACCCUCUUGUAUGUACCAUAUGAAUAAGGAUCGGCUAACUCCGUGCCAGCAGCCGCGGUAAUACGGAGGAUCCGAGCGUUAUCCGGAUUUAUUGGGUUUAAAGGGUGCGUAGGUGGAUUGUUAAGUCAGUUGUGAAAGUUUGCGGCUCAACCGUAAAAUUGCAGUUGAAACUGGCAGUCUUGAGUGCAGGAGAGGUGGGCGGAAUGCGUGGUGUAGCGGUGAAAUGCGUAGAUAUCACGAAGAACUCCGAUUGCGAAGGCAGCUUACUGGACUGCAACUGACACUGAUGCACGAAAGUGUGGGUAUCAAACAGGAUUAGAUACCCUUGUAGUC
rnacentral:rRNA from 1 species